rnacentral:rRNA from 1 species
UACAGAGGUCCCAAGCGUUGUUCGGAUUCACUGGGCGUAAAGGGUGCGUAGGCGGUCGGGUAAGUCUGAUGUGAAAUCUCACAGCUUAACUGUGAAACUGCAUUGGAUACUAUCCGGCUAGAGGAAUGGAGGGGAGACUGGAAUACUUGGUGUAGCAGUGAAAUGCGUAGAUAUCAAGUGGAACACCAGUGGCGAAGGCGAGUCUCUGGGCCGUAACUGACGCUGAGGAGCGAAAGCGUGGGGAGCGAACAGG